rnacentral:lncRNA from 1 species
AUCCAUCUUGACUUCGGCUAGAAGUGAGUUAUAUUGAGCUUAGUGAUGCAUGGUUACAUAUAGAUAGAAGAACUUGAUAGUUUGUUGUCUCCACAUUUUUUUAAGGGGACACCUAUUUUUUAUUUAUUUUAAGGUCUUAUAUUUUAGUUUAAAGAACACCUCUGAAUUUUCAUUGGAAAUGAAAUGAGCUAUUAUAACUACCACGGAACUUGAUUAUUUUUGUGUACUUUGAGAUCUACAUCUUGAAGAAAAAACCAUGAAAUAUUUGGUAUACAAGGAGUUACAGCACUACCAUGUACCUUCAUUCUUUUAGUACUCAACGUAUUUAGCUUGAGAUCUUCAAUUUUUUCCCAAACCAAAAAGCAACUCCGAAUACCGGUUGAUGUAAUACUGCUCUAAUCAGGCUUGUCUAUCAUUACCCAUAAAAUGGAUGGACUUUUGGGCUGAAGUUUGUUGGAAUUUGAGAUGGGGAUAGGAAACA